CAACAAUACAAUAUAUGGUAUUAGGUCAUAUUAUGAUAAAACCAUUACAACAAUGAUUAUUUAAAACAAAUUAAAAUAAUAGAAACCUAAAAAAAAUAAACAAAAACUGUUGCCAAUGACAACCUUAUUUUUAAUCUUUUAAUCUUUUUUAACCUGAAAACCGAAGUUUUCCUCAUUAUCUCGGAUAUUAAUGAGAAUUUGUAAAAAAAUACCUUUCUAAAGUACCACCCAGAGAAGAUUUCGUUUCAGAAAAGAUGAUAUACUUGAUAACUGGAGUAUGCUUUCUGGUAGAAUAAGUGUUCAUG